UCAUUUUCGUUCCUCAUCACCAUCAUCAUCCACUACUAAUGGUUCAGGGCACGGCGUAUGCGCGCGCGUGCCUCACACCAUCGGAUCGCGGAUGUUUUGGCGGGGUUGGCUGUUCAUUUAGGGGGGAGGCGGCCGAUUGAAAUGAAGAAGAUGUUGUGGAUGUAGAAGUAGGAGGAGAUGGAGGAGGCAAAGGCCUUCUCCCUCGC
ensembl:ncRNA T14F9.9 ncRNA